rnacentral:rRNA from 1 species
UACGGGGGGGGCAAGCGUUGUUCGGAAUUACUGGGCGUAAAGGGCUCGUAGGUGGCCAACUAAGUCAGACGUGAAAUCCCUCAGCUUAACUGGGGAACUGCGUCUGAUACUGGAUGGCUUGAGAUUGGGAGAGGGAUGCGGAAUUCCAGGUGUAGCGGUGAAAUGCGCAGAUAUCAGGAGGAACACCGGUGGCGAAGGCGGGUCUCUGGGCCGUAACUGACGCUGAGGAGCGAAAGCAUGGGGAGCGAUCCGG